UGUCUUAUUGGUGCGAUAAAUCACAACUUGUGUAUUAUAUGAGGAAGUAUUUCAUGCAGCGUCGCUAUCAUGCACAAAGACCCUAUCUGUGCUUUCCGGACAAGUUUCAAACACAAUCGUCAAUUAUAGACACACAGAGACAGUAUCAACUUUCUGAUGUACGUGUUACACAAUCAUUAAGAUAAGCACACAAUCUAAAAGCUGGAAACACCCAUGGUUGUCAGUGGAAGUACCAGUGUAGAGAGUGAGGUGCUCAUAACUACAACCUCAUAAUAUCAGAUAAGGUAACUUAAGUGUCUAUUGUAACACACGUUUAUUUCACAGUCAUGAUAUAACAACUCGACUAGUAUAAUUUAAUCAACCCUAAUACUUUGGAAAAGAUGUCACUCGUUUUAUAUUGUGAAUAGUUCCACACUGACAGGUCACGUGAAUAAGUCCACACUGACAGGUCACGUGAAUAGGUCCACACUGACAGGUCACGUGAAUAGGUCCACACUGACAGGUUACGUGAAUAGGUCCACACUGACACUGAGUUGUCCGCUCGACUUGGAGAAGUCCAACUUGACCAAAUCAAGUCAGUUUGUUCACAACUAGACCAAAGACAUAGCAAUGGCGCAGGCACGAGUUCCACACUGACAGGUCACGUGAAUAAGUCCACACUGACAGGUCACGUGAAUAGGUCCACACUGACAGGUCACGUGAAUAGGUCCACACUGACAGGUUACGUGAAUAGGUCCACACUGACACUGAGUUGUCCGCUCGACUUGGAGAAGUCCAACUUGACCAAAUCAAGUCAGUUUGUUCACAAAUAGACCAAAGACAUAGCAAUGGCGCAGGCACGAGGUACACACUGACACUGAGCUACCCGUUCGACUGGGAAAAGCCCAAAUUCACCCAGAUCAAGGCAGUUUGUUUAUAAAUAGACCCAAGUCAUUGCAAUGGCGCAAGCACGAGGUAGGGUGAACUUUUAUGUUUCGUUUGAAAUUUAUUUGAUCAUUUGCUUGAUCUACACGUCAAAUUAAUUUAUUAGUUACUAAGACUCUUGGGUUACACUGUGAACUGAUCGUAUUGGUACAAAUUGUUACUGAGCAAUAAAUGGAAUGAAUAUCUUCAAGAUGCUUGUUUCAAGACAUAUGCACGUUAUUAAGGUAAGGUUAAAACCAGCGUGAGUUCGUACAUCUCAAUGAAAGGCUGUUCACCUUACACUGAGUUAUCCGUUCCACUGGAAACAUCCAAUUCUGACCAGAUCAAGACAGUUUGUUUAUAUAUAGUCCCAGGUCAUAGCAAUGGCGCAGUCGCAAGG